rnacentral:rRNA from 1 species
AACGAACGCUGGCGGCAUGCCUAACACAUGCAAGUCGAACGAGACCUUCGGGUCUAGUGGCGCACGGGUGCGUAACGCGUUGGAACCUGCCCUUAGGUUCGGAAUAACUCCCCGAAAGGGGUGCUAAUACCGGAUAAUGUCUUCCGACCAAAGAUUUAUCGCCUUUGGAUGGGCCCGCGUUGGAUUAGCUAGUUGGUAGGGUAAAAGCCUACCACGGCGACGAUCAAUAGCUGGUAUGAGAGGAUGAUCAGCCACACUGGGACUGAGACACGGCCCAGAAUACUGCGGGAGGCAGCAGUGGGGAAUAUUGGAAAGUGGGCGAAAGCCUGAUCGAGCAAGGACGGGUGAGUGAUGAAGGCCUUAGGGUUGUAAAGCUCGUUUACCCGGGAUGAUAAAGACAGUACCGGGAGAAUAAGCGCCGGCUAACUCCGUG